rnacentral:rRNA from 1 species
ACGAGCUAGAUCAAACACAAAUCACCGAGCAAUCAUCUCUCCGUGUGUGCUAGCUGCUAAUUCUCUAAUCGAUCAUGGGUGGAGGCCACGACAUGCACGGCGGCCACAACGGCGGCGUGAAGGGCUUCGUGUCCGGCCUCGUUAACGGCGGGAAAGGCCACGGCUACGGAUCGUCAUACGGCCAGGGGCACGGCUACGGCGGUGGCCACGUGCAGGGCUACCAGCAGGGCUACGGCGGCCAUGGACAGAGCUACGAGCACGGGUACGGCGGACAUGCGCAGCACGGGCACGGCGGCUACGAGCACGGGUACGGCGGCGGACAUGCGCAGCACGGCCAUGGCCACGAGCACGGGUACGGCGGGCACGUGCAGCAGCACGGAUACGGCGGCGGCCACGCGCAGCUCGGGUACCCUCCUGCUGCCGGCGCCUACCCUCCGCACGGCGGCUAUCAGGCGCACGGCUACGCGCCGGCGGCUUACCCUUCUCACGGGGAGCACCACGGUCACAUGGGAUCGUACCACACCGGGCAUGGCAGCGGGCACCAUCACGGCGGCAAGUACCAUGGCGGCAAGCACGGCGGCAAGUACCAUGGCGGCAAGCACGGCAGUAGGUGGUGAAGUACUGAAGUGGCUAGCUGCAGCCAUUGCUCGCGCGCUCUACGACGGCCACGUACCUGUGCGCCCCCGUGGCCAGUCUUCAUCAUCUGCCUUAGUUGAUUCACCAUGAUCCGUUGUAGCCACGAAUAACGUCUUACAUUACUGGAACGGAGGGAGUAUAUUAUACUAUACUACCUAAAUAAAAAGCUACGCGUACAUGGACAUGAUGUGUGGUAUGUAAUGAUUCUUGUACCUUACAAAAAUGUAAUAUUCUCUGUAAU